GAGAGGGAAGCCACCUGGCUUAGCCAGGCCUGACUCAUGUUUUCCUUGGCUAGAGCUGGGAUUCCUGUCAAGGUUUCUGUCCCAAGAUAGCAUGGCUGACUGAGCCAGGCAGUGGCUGGAUGCUGUAUUUCACUGCUUGUCCAGGCUGAGAGGAGAACCAAAGAUUGUCCCAGAAUGGAUCCAAGGAAGCCCGGAAGUGACCUUGAGACCACUCUCAGGAGGCCCUGUCAGAAGAGCCCCUCCCUCUCUGCAUAAAGAACAAGAAGACCGAUUGGAUCUGCUUAGGAAGACAAACCUCCCAGGGGCACGCUAUUCAGUCCACUCCUGCUGGGGACAGAAGACCUUUGGGCAGCCCUGGCUCUGAGACUUGCCCUUUCUUGGGGCAGCACAGGUUUUAAAGACUAGGUGCCCUGGGGUGACAGACAGAGACCCCCAACCUGCUUUCCCUAACAUUCCAGGAGGACCCAAAUCACUGGCUCUUCCAGGCUCUUGGCCACUUUCCAGUUCCCAUGAGGAUUAAAAGGAAGAAGUGGACUUUAACUCCAGCGAUGGGACUGUGGAUGGAUUGAGGGUGGGAGUGCCCUGAGACCCAAGGAGUCCGCCAGCCGGUUAGUCAUAGAAAAACACCUCCCCCUUGGCUUAGGUGUGUACCUAGUGGAGGCAGAGCCGAGAGACAGAUGUUUUCUCCAAAUCUUUCCAGCCUUAUGACUCUUAUAAUUAGACCUGGAAAAACAUCUUUUCCUUUCUUCAUUUUUUUUUAAAAGACCAGAUUGUCUUAAACACAGAGUGAUCAUUUGGGCCACUGGAAAGCAGAAAAAAGAGAGAGAUGACCGUUUGGAAAUAAUGCUUUCUUUCCACGUUCUGCUCCCCUACCCGCUGCCUACAUGCCCUUCUCCCACUCUCCCCAACUCCCCCCGAAAAUGCCCUGCUGCUGUGGCUCUGACUCCAGAGGAGAUGGAAGAUGACACCCCUGGGCUUCAAAGGCAUUUCCAACAAGGGCUCAGCUUCUUGCAAAGCCUCUGAGAAAACCUUGGCCAACCCCCUGGCUCCCCGCUUCUAGCCUCGAAACUGAGGCUGCUCUGCCUGUCAGGAAGCCUAUAAAUCCCCAAGUCGGCAAGAAGCUGCACUCUGGAGCUCUCUCCAUUGCUCAGAUACCUGGCUGCAGGCCCUGGGCCGACCUCAGCCAGUCUAGAAGCUGGUGUAAAUAAGCACAUUUAUCUCAGACAGAACUCAUUUUCUGAGGAAGUGGAUUCCCCUGGGGAUACCAGCAAUCAAAAAGUCCGUUGUUCCCUAUGGGGCCACAGCUCUUCCCCAUUUGACAGCUGAUAUUUAAUUGAUGGCUGCUUUUCUCCAUAAGAAUAUUACACGGUGUUCUUAGAGUUCCAGCAAAAUGAUAACUCCUUUGUCCCCAAGGCAGAGGAGCAGUGGCUGUCCUCAUAUCUAUCUAACCUGGGGGAAAUACAUAUUAGGGUAACUGCCCAUAUAUCAUUGAUCAAAAAUUCCAAUAUGCUGCUGCCCUUCUUGAAACUAGAACCAAGCACAGUUUGCAGAUAGGAGUUCCUGGGAGUUGAGCAAUCUGGGAGAGUUGUAUUACUCAGAAAUGUUUCAAGUCUGGGAGAAAAAAAAGGAAUCUUAGUCUUAGAGAGAAAGAUCUGGAAAAACAUCAGCCUGGAAGCCUCAAAGAUGUGAGAUGUCAGCAUUAGAAGGGCACAAGUCAGCAGCCAGGGUGGAAUUCAGAGCCUCACCAAGGCCAUGCAGCAAGGUGUGGGGCAGAUAGAGCCAGGUAGCUCCUCGGACGCUGAGCAGAGUGGCAGGCAGAAGGGAGCAGGAACAUCCUAGGAAGGCCCAGGCUGCUCUGGAGAGCUCUGACGGAGAGGGGCUGUCUGACAGCCUGGCUGCCCAGAGGCCUAUGUUUCAGCCCAUUCCACUCCUCAGUGGCUAUCUGACCUCAGGCGAGUCCCUUGGUCUCUGUGCCUGUUUCCUUACCCAUGGCAGGAGAUGGAGAUGCUCAAGUAAAUGACAGAAACAAGAAGGUCAUGAACAAUACACAAGGCAGGAGCCAACCGAGGAGGGCUGGGACCACCAGCCAAGUCUCACCAGCUGAAUUCCAUCUCGGGCCCUGGAGGCGGCAGCAUUUACAACCACAAAGCAGCCUAAAUUUGGCCAGCCAGAGGCCUUCUGCCCCUGGGGUGGGUCUCUGGAGCUCUUGCUGGACUGAUGUUGCCCUAAGAGAUCCUGGCUGGGCCUCUCCCCCUCACCCCACUCCUUCCUACUCGUGUGUUUGGGAUUAACAUUCAUCCCUUGAACUUUUUCAUUUUUCUACUGAGAUGGAAACUUGGCCAGUGACCAGGCCUGGUUGUGCUCGCAGUACGGCUGGGCUCAGGCCAAACUCACGGUAAUUGUAAUCAUAUGCGAGGUGCUGGCUCACUGGGCGCCAGGGCUGGGGGAGGUGCAGGGCUGCCAGGCAGUGAGAAGGUGAGGGAAGGGCGCUGGGCUGGGCGCCAGGACCUGAGCCAGUGUGCAGACGGUAUGGCCUUGGACUCCUGCCCUCACCUCUGUGAGCCGUGAUUUCCUUGUUAAUAAAAUAAAGGGAUUGGCUUAUAGGAAAUCUGAGGCCCCUGUCCAGGCUAUUGUGGGAUAUGGACCAGAUCUCAUGUACUGCCUUUAAUCCCCCCAACUCUGGCCUGGCCUUUCCUGUCCACAUAGAGGGACCGUGAACAGGGUGUCACGUAGGAGGGUUCCAGCUUCC
rnacentral:lncRNA from 10 species